rnacentral:rRNA from 1 species
CACGUAGGGGGCGAGCGUUGUCCGGAUUUAUUGGGCGUAAAGAGCUCGUAGGCGGCUCGGUAAGUCAACUGUGAAAGCUCCGGGCUCAACUCGGAGAGGCCAGUUCAUACUGCUGUGGCUAGAGUCCGGUAGGGGAGCGUGGAAUUCCUGGUGUAGCGGUGAAAUGCGCAGAUAUCAGGAGGAACACCAGCGGCGAAGGCGGCGCUCUGGGCCGGAACUGACGCUGAGGAGCGAAAGCGUGGGUAGCAAACAGG